rnacentral:rRNA from 1 species
GACGAACGCUGGCGGCGUGCCUAACACAUGCAAGUCGAACGGAGAUAUGAUUUCGGUUGUAUCUUAGUGGCGAACGGGUGAGUAACGCGUGAACAACCUGACUCUAAGAGGGGGAUAACACUCGGAAACGGGUGCUAAUACCGCAUAAGACCACGACCUGGCAUCAGGAUGAGGUCAAAGGAGCAAUCCGCUGAGAGAGGGGUUCGCGUCCCAUUAGAUAGAUGGCGGGGUAACGGCCCACCAUGUCAACGAUGGGUAGCCGAGCUGAGAGGCUGAUCGGCCACACUGGAACUGAGACACGGUCCAGACUCCUACGGGAGGCAGCAGUGGGGAAGUAUUGGGCAAUGGGCGCAAGCCUGACCCAGCAACGCCGCGUGAGGGAAGAAGGCUUUCGGUUGUAAACCUCUGUCCUUGGUGACGAAACAAAUAGACGGUAGCCAAGGAGGAAGCCCCGGCUAACUACGUGCCAGCAGCCGCGGUAA